AUUGAACGCUGGCGGCAGGCCUAACACAUGCAAGUCGAGCGGAUGAAGGGAGCUUGCUCCUGGAUUCAGCGGCGGACGGGUGAGUAAUGCCUAGGAAUCUGCCUGGUAGUGGGGGAUAACGUCCGGAAACGGGCGCUAAUACCGCAUACGUCCUGAGGGAGAAAGUGGGGGAUCUUCGGACCUCACGCUAUCAGAUGAGCCUAGGUCGGAUUAGCUAGUUGGUGGGGUAAAGGCCUACCAAGGCGACGAUCCGUAACUGGUCUGAGAGGAUGAUCAGUCAAACUGGAACUGAGACACGGUCCAGAACCCCACGGGAGGCAGCAGGGGGGAAUAUUGGACAAUGGGCGAAAGCCUGAUCCAGCCAUGCCGCGUGUGUGAAGAAGGUCUGCGGAUUGUAAAGCACUUUAAGUUGGGAGGAAGGGCAGUAAGUUAAUACCUUGCUGUUUGGACGUUACCAACAGAAUAAGCACCGGCUAACUUCGU
rnacentral:rRNA from 1 species